rnacentral:lncRNA from 1 species
UUUUCUCUUGUCUGUCACCAUGUGAGACAUGGCUUUCACCUUCCAUCAUGAUUGUGAGGCCUCCCCAGCCACAUAGAAUUGUGUCAUGAGAGCCACCCUUCCCAAAGUAGCACUUGUGAGCAGAGGUGAUCAGAGGGCUUUCUGAAGAGUGAGGAGUGACUUCAGAGGGCCAAAAAGAAGAAAAGGGAGUGAGACAGUCGUUAAGACUCCUAAUCCCGGCUUAUUUUUACUGCUUCUCAACACAGCAUUGCAAGUGGCUGAUUUGAUGGAUGUGGCACGUGACCAAGUUCUGGCUAAUGAGAUGUCUGAAACUUAAAGUGGAAGAGAUGUAUCAUCUCCUUUUCCUUGCUCCAUCCUGCUACCUGAAAAAUGGAUGUGGUGACAAGCCCUGGAAAACCACAAGGAUGAGAACAGCACUGGAGAGAUGGUGCAGCGCAUGAUGCAAUUGCCUAGGUAUCUGAUGGCUGAGUAGAAUUUCUCUCCUCCGACUUUUACAUGGGAAGGAAAUAAAACUCUAUUUUGUUUGAAA